UUAAUCUGAACUCGCUGCUGACUGGACCGGAGCUCAUAUCAGACACAUACUUGGCUCUUUUCUUAGCGCAGCUACAGCAGGAAGGUUAUUCCAUAUUUGUGAUCCGGGGAAGCCUGCCGGAAUGUGAAGCCGAUCAGAUUUUGCGGAUCAUGCGAGUUGAGCAGCAGCAGCGGCCCAAGCUGAUCGGAGAGGACGAGGCCCAGAGGAUGUCAGUGCAGCAGACGU